rnacentral:piRNA from 1 species
UAGUUGGUAAAUGUAUUCUUAAAUCUAGCCUC